AUGACGUCAAGUUGUUACAAGUUACAACAAUCAGGAGAAAUACAACAAUGGCCUGGCUUACUUCAUUCGAGAAGGAGAUCAAUCGGUAUCGCCCUAUCAUUAUGUGCAUACAUCACCAGGAAUGGCGACUACUUCUCCGUAGCCUUCUGCGGAAAGGCCUGCAUGCCUCUAUGCUAAGAUCAACUGCAGCAGCAAGUGCCAUGAAAAUGGCUGCGUCUUCCACACAGGUCACAUGUCGCAUGGCAAGUUGCACGAGGGGCUUGCUGCAUUUCCCUUCCCCUUGUACUCGACAGCUCAUGACAAAGCCGCCUGCAACAGGACUUAGUGCUGCAAAGUCUCCACUGCUUCUUGGACUAGGCAAUGGACUCGUUGCUGCUCGAACCUGUUUGUCCGUGUCUAUGUAGAACUCACCACCCUUUUCUGCACUGAUCAAGAUCUCAGACAUGAGGAGAUCGCCACCAUUUUCUUGCCCCUCAGAUAGAAGAUGGAAGCGACAGCAAAUGGUAUCUCUGAUCCCACGUUCACGCCAUGCUUCAAGCUUUCCCCAUGGCUGCCAACAUCCGGGCCUGCAAACAUCAGGAUGAACAAUCAACCAAGCUCCUGGG
rnacentral:misc_RNA from 1 species